rnacentral:rRNA from 1 species
GAUGAACGCUGGCGGCGUGCCUAAUACAUGCAAGUCGAGCGAACGGACGAGAAGCUUGCUUCUCUGAUGUUAGCGGCGGACGGGUGAGUAACACGUGGAUAACCUACCUAUAAGACUGGGAUAACUUCGGGAAACCGGAGCUAGUACCGGAUAAUAUUUUGAACCGCAUGGUUCAAAAGUGAAAGACGGUCUUGCUGUCACUUAUAGAUGGAUCCGCGCUGCAUUAGCUAGUUGGUAAGGUAACGGCUUACCAAGGCAACGAUGCAUAGCCGACCUGAGAGGGUGAUCGGCCACACUGGAACUGAGACACGGUCCAGACUCCUACGGGAGGCAGCAGUAGGGAAUCUUCCGCAAUGGGCGAAAGCCUGACGGAGCAACGCCGCGUGAGUGAUGAAGGUCUUCGGAUCGUAAAACUCUGUUAUUAGGGAAGAACAUAUGUGUAAGUAACUGUGCACAUCUUGACGGUGCCUAAUCAGAAAGCCACGGCUAACUACGUG